UGGGGGAUCGUCCAGCGGCAGGACGGCAGACUCUGGAUCUGUCUACCGAGGUUCGAAUCCUCGUCCCCCAGCCA
rnacentral:tRNA from 4 species